GGAGGUAUUGUCUAAUGGUAGGACGUCACCCUUACACGGUGAAGGCCUGGGUUCGAUUCCCUGUACCUCCA
rnacentral:tRNA from 1 species